AUUGAACGCUGGCGGUAGGCCUAACACAUGCAAGUCGAACGCGAAAGUCCUUCGGGAUGAGUGGAGUGGCGGACGGGUGAGUAACGCGUAGGAAUCUAUCCUGUAGUGGGGGAUAACGUUUCGAAAGGAACGCUAAUACCGCAUACGCCCCAAGGUGGAAAGCGGGGGAUCUUCGGACCUCGUUCUAUUGGAGGAGCCUGCGUCGGAUUAGCUAGUUGGUGAGGUAAAGGCUCACAAAGGCGACGAUCCGUAGCUGGUCUGAGAGGAUGAUCAGCCACACCGGAACUGAGACACGGUCCGGACUCCUACGGGAGGCAGCAGUGGGGAAUAUUGCGCAAUGGGCGAAAGCCUGACGCAGCCAUACCGCGUGUGUGAAGAAGGCCUUCGGGUUGUAAAGCACUUUCAGUGGGGAGGAAAAGCUGGUGGCUAAUAUCCAUCGGCCGUGACGCUACCCACAGAAGAAGCACCAGCUAAUUCCGUGCCAGCCGCCGCUGUAAUAC
rnacentral:rRNA from 1 species